rnacentral:rRNA from 1 species
AACGAACGCUGGCGGCAUGCCUAACACAUGCAAGUCGAACGAGACCUUCGGGUCUAGUGGCGCACGGGUGCGUAACGCGUGGGAACCUGCCCUUAGGUUCGGAAGAACUCCCCGAAAGGGGUGCUAAUACCGGAUAAUGUCUUCGGACCAAAGAUUUAUCGCCUUUGGAUGGGCUCGCGUUGGAUUAGCUAGUUGGUAGGGUAAAAGCCUACCAAGGCGACGAUCCAUAGCUGGUCUGAGAGGAUGAUCAGCCACACUGGGACUGAGACACGGCCCAGACUCCUACGGGAGGCAGCAGUGGGGGAUAUUGGACAAUGGGCGAAAGCCUGAUCCAGCAAUGCCGCGUGAGUGAUGAAGGCCUUAGGGUUGUAAAGCUCGUUUACCCGGGAUGAUAAUGACAGUACCGGGAGAAUAAGCUCCGGCUAACUCCGUG